AUAACAGGACACGGGGGGACAACGGCUGGACAUCCGGGAUUUCUGGGGACAGGGUCUGGGGACAAGACAGGACUGGCGGGGACUUCUAGGAUCUGGACAAGACGAGACAAAUAAUCAGACAAGGCUUUAGCAGCUAUGAUAACCCAACACAGUCUCACCCCUAUUCGUCACAUACUGCCGUUUGGUCAUUUCCCCCUCACGUCCAUAAGCAACGUUGAGGGUACCCCCUAUCCGUCACUUGACAACGUAGAGGAGGGUCGUCCGAUAUUUGAAUGCAAAUCCCUCAUCUUUGGAUUUUGACGAACCUGGCUUAUCCAUCUAGCGGAUUUUUUUUAUUUGUUCUUCUCUUUUUUUGCAGAUUCCUUAAUCCCUGUCCUUUAAAAAAACAGCACCUCAUUACAUUAUGCACUUCUAAGAGCCACAUUUGUCUUGUUUAUUGUCUUAUUUGUAUUUUUUUAUUGUCUUGUUAUUUCUCUCUCUCUCUAUCUCUCACUCUCUCUCUCUCUCACACUCUCUCUCUAUCUCUCACUCUCUCUCCAUCCCUGACUCUCUCCCCUACCAUCUGAGUGGUGGUUGUUUUUUAGAGGGACGGAGGAACUGGGUUUCUGCCUCUUCUUCAGUCACUUUAAUCAACUGAAAGUGUAAAGAAUGACAAAGCCAAAAUUCAGGCCUUGCCCAAAAACAAAAAUGCAUCUCGGGUGGUGGCCUCUGCCCAAAUAGCUGUCCAAAAACUUUCUGCCUUGGGCUAUAUGCCCAUAUUAUUUAUCAGCCAGAGGCACAAGGGCACAGGCAAGUUGAUGGCAGAUGUAGUAACGCAUCUGCCACCGACGCAAAACAACACAUGUUUCUUAACCAGCAUGAAGAGGGCAUAUGACUUCAUGAUCAAACUGGAUGAUGUGCCCCAGCCCCAGCAAGACCAGCCCCAGCAAGACCA